rnacentral:tRNA from 5 species
GUCCGUUGGUCAAGGGGUUAAGACACCGCCUUUUCACGGCGGUAACACGGGUUCGAAUCCCGUACGGACUA